CCUCCCCGGCCGAGGUGCUCCCUGGUGCUCCUCGUGCAGCCAUGGGUCAGCACUUCUCCCUGGCCACCUGCGACAUGGUCGGAUUUGACCUGGACCACACUCUGUGUCGCUACAACGUGCCCGAGAGCACCCCACUCAUUUAUAAUAGCUUUGCCCAGUUCCUAGUGAAGGAGAAAGGGUAUGAUAAGGAAUUGCUUGAUGUGACCCCAGAGGAUUGGGAUUUCUGUUGCAAGGGUUUGGCAUUGGAUCUAGAAGAUGGGAACUUCCUUAAACUUGCAGAUAAUGGCACUGUCCUCAGGGCAAGCCAUGGCACCAAGACGAUGACUCCAGCAGUGCUGGCAGAGGCAGAUGGCAAGAAAGAGUGGAAGUGCUUGUCGGACACUGGAUGGCUUGCCGCUCAGGGCAACUACUUUGACCUGCCAGGAGCUCUUCCAUGUGCCAGGGUGGCAGACUAUUUAACAAAACAGAGCAAUGGUCAAAAAACAUUGGAUUUUUGGAAGGACAUAGCUGCUGCUAUACAACACAAUUAUAAAAUGUCAGCUUUUAAGGAAAUCUCUGGAAUAUACUUCCCAGAAAUGAAAGGAGAUCCAGGCAGGUACUUACACAGUUGUCCUGAAUCUGUGAAAAAUGGCUUCAACAGCUGAAGAAUGCUGGGAAAAUUCUUCUGUUAAUUACCAGUUUUCACAGUGAUUACUGUAGACUUCUCUGCGAAUAUAUCCUUGAGAAUGAUUUUUGACCUUUUUGACAUUGUGAUUACAAAUGCAUUGAGGCCUGGUUUCUUCUCCCACUUACCAAGUCAGAGACCUUUCCGGACACUUGAGAAUGAUAAGGAACAGGAGGCACUGCCAUCUCUGGAUAAACCUGGCUGGUACCUCCAAGGAAACGCUGUCCACCUCGAUGAACUUCUGAAGAAAAUGACUGGCAUUUUAUUUUGGUGACAGCAUGCAUUUAAACAUCUUCCCAGCUCAGCACUAUAGUCAUUGGGCGACAGUCCUUAUCCUGGAAGAACUCAGAGGGGACGAAGGCACAAGGAGGCAGAGGCCUGAGGAGUCAGAGCCCCCAGAGAAGAAAGGAAAAUAUGAGGGACCAAAGGCAAAGCCUCUAAAUACUUCAUCUAAAAAUGGGGCUCUUUUUUCAUUGAUUCAACUUUGGGACUGGAACAUACAGAAGACUCCUUGGUUUAUACGUGGUCUUGUAAGAGAAUCAGUACUUACAGCCCUAUCGCGAUUCCAAGUAUUGAAGCAAUCACAGGAUCACCUCUGGACUCCAAAUUUACAAGAUGCUCUUCAGGCAAUUCCAAAACAGCUGGCUACUAUCCAAACCCUCCUCGGUCUUAUCAAGUGAUGACAGACUGAUAACCAAAUAA